rnacentral:rRNA from 1 species
UACGGAGGGAGCUAGCGUUGUUCGGAAUUACUGGGCGUAAAGCGCACGUAGGCGGAUUUGUAAGUCAGGGGUGAAAUCCCGGGGCUCAACCUCGGAACUGCCUUUGAUACUGCAAAUCUCGAGUCCGGAAGAGGUGAGUGGAAUUCCUAGUGUAGAGGUGAAAUUCGUAGAUAUUAGGAAGAACACCAGUGGCGAAGGCGGCUCACUGGUCCGGUACUGACGCUGAGGUGCGAAAGCGUGGGGAGCAAACAGG